UACGUAGGGGGCUAGCGUUGUCCGGAAUCAUUGGGCGUAAAGCGCGUGUAGGCGGUCCGGUAAGUCCGCUGUGAAAGCCAGGGGCUCAACCCUUGGAUGCCGGUGGAUACUGUCGGGCUUGAGUACGGAAGAGGCGAGUGGAAUUCCUGGUGUAGCGGUGAAAUGCGCAGAUACCAGGAGGAACACCAAUUGCGAAGGCAGCUCGCUGGGACGUUACUGACGCUGAGACGCGAAAGCGUGGGGAGCAAACAGG
rnacentral:rRNA from 1 species